GACGAACGCUGGCGGCGUGCCUAAUACAUGCAAGUCGAACGCACAGUUUAUACCUUAGCUUGCUACACCAUAGACUGUGAGUUGCGAACGGGUGGGUAACGCGUAGGUAACCUGCCUGGUAGCGUGGGAUAACUAUUUGAAACGAUAGCUAAUACCGCAUAAUAUUAAUUAUUGCAUGAUAAUUAAUUGAAAGGUGCAAUUGCACCACUACCAGAUGGACCUGCGUUGUAUUAGCUAGUAGGUGAGGUAACGGCUCACCUAGGCGACGAUACAUAGCCGACCUGAGAGGGUGAUCGGCCACACUGGGACCGAGACACGGCCCAGAAUACUACGGGAGGCAGCAGUAGGGAAUCUUCGGCAAUAGACGAAAGGCUGAAUGAGCAACGACGGGUGAGUGAAGAAGGUUUUCGGAUCGUAAAGGUCUGUUGUAAGAGAAGAACGGGUGUGAGAGUGGAAAGUUCACACUGUGACGGUAUCUUACCAGAAAGGGACGGCUAACUACGUG
rnacentral:rRNA from 1 species